rnacentral:rRNA from 1 species
UGAGUUUGAUCCUGGCUCAGAACGAACGCUGGCGGCGUGCUUAACCCAUGCAAGUCGAACGUGAUCCGGAGCUUGCUCCGGUGAAAGUGGCGCACGGGUGAAUAACACGUGGAUAAUCUGCCUGGCGAUUCGGGAUAACACUUCGAAAGGGGUGCUAAUACCGGACAAGCCCACAGUCUCCUCGGAGGGUGCGGGAAAAGGGGGCCUCUGUAUAUGCUCCUGUCGCUAGAUGAGUCCGCGGCCCAUUAGCUAGUUGGUAGGGUAAUGGCCUACCAAGGCGACGAUGGGUAGCUGGUYUGAGAGGAUGAUCAGCCACACKGGAACUGAGACACGGUCCAGACUCCUACGGGAGGCAGCAGUGGGGAAUUUUGCGCAAUGGGSGAAAGCCUGACSCAGCAACGCCGCGAGAGUGAUGAAGGCCUUCGGGUCGUAAAGCUCUGUCAGAGGGGAAGAACCGCCGGGUGGCUAAUACCUGCCUGGUCKGACGGUACCCUCAAAGGAAGCACCGGCUAACUCCGUGCCAGCAGCCGCGGUAAUAC